GCCAGUUCGUCCCUUGCUGUCAGAAAUACAGCAUGCAUACACAUUUGUUUUGUGUUUGUUAAAGUGUUUGGUUUAAAAAAAAACGAUAAACCAGUAAUGAAGGUUACGUAACUAAAGUGAAUAGAGAAAGUUGCAUACACAACAUGGAAUGUGUGGAUAUUUUUGUUGCAUUACUUGCGUAGAUUUGGAUAUCAUUUUAGCCACCUAAACAUUAGGCUAUAUAUUCCCCUUUGCAUCUUCAAAGAAACGGGGGAGGUUACUAUGUGAAGGAAUGUGUUAGGAUUGGAAGUUUUCUCUUUGUUUCUUUUGAGAUGGUAUGGCCUCUGAGGACCCCCAAGUCCAACUGGAUGAGGCUAUUAAGCAUCCUUGUGAACUUCUACACAUGUAAGCUGUGUGAGUGAGCCAGAACAUGGGUCUACUGCAGGUGCCUUUACUCAGCUGACAAAUCACUUCACCUUAUGUGAACAUCAAAGUCUUGCUUGUGGUCCAUAUGUACAGAAGCAAGCCAUGCUUGUGGGAGACUUUUAUUAGUGGGCCAGCCAGGAUAAUUGAAAUGCACUUUUUAGGACAAUAAGAAGAAAAAGACAAACACGCCUCUAGGGAUUAGGUUCAGAUGGAGACAAAGAGAUGAGCGAGGACAGAUUGUUCCUCAAACCAGGAAGGCAACUACAUCCACUUCUGUUGCUCCACGGGCCAGUUCAUCAAGAGCCAGACUAGUGCAACAUUUUGGGCCAAUCACUGAGGAGGAAGAAUCAGCUUGAGGGUGCCAGAGAGCCUUGCAUCACGCACUCCUGCCAUCCAUCACGCACACCUGCCUUCCCUCGUCACGCGCAUCAGCGAUAUUGGACUCACCUGGACUCACUCAUCACCUGUUUAUUUCCUCCCCUAUAUUUGUCAGUUCCCAGCUCUGUUCCCCACUGCUGCAUUGAUUGUGUUUUUGUCUAUGUUUUCUGUUUGCUAACGCUGUUCCUGUCUUGUUCAAUGUCCGUUGUUAAUUAAAUGUAACUCACCGUACGUUCUUUGUCUCUCCAGCGUCGACAUAUGUGACAGCUCAACAUUCUCAACACUACAUACAUUGUAAUGGGCAUUUUCUAGAAUGAAACCAUAAAGUCCUUACCCAUUAACAAGUUCAAUGAAUGUUUUAUUGUCACCAGAGUCAAAUACUGCAAAAUAAACUUUUUUAUUAUGGAUAUGAA